rnacentral:rRNA from 1 species
UACGUAGGUGGCAAGCGUUUGUUCGGAAUUAUUGGGCGUAAAGGGCGCGUAGGCGGCAUGUUAAGUCGGCUGUGAAAGCCUGGGGCUCAACCCCAGAGGGUCGGCCGAUACUGGCAAGCUAGAGUACGGAAGAGGUAGCUGGAAUUCCCGGUGUAGCGGUGAAAUGCGUAGAUAUUGGGAGGAACACCAGUGGCGAAGGCGGCUCACUGGACCGGUACUGACGCUGAUGCGCGAAAGCGUGGGGGAGCAAACGGGG